rnacentral:tRNA from 1 species
GCUAAUGUAGCAGAAUACGGCUAUGCCAAAGACCUAAACUCUUUUUACAGAGGUUCAAAUCCUCUCACUAGCU